rnacentral:rRNA from 1 species
UAUCUCUGUAGAGUCUGCAUAUCAAUAAGCGGAGGAAAAGAAACUAACAAGGAUUCCCUUAGUAACGGCGAGUGAAGCGGGAAGAGCUCAAAUUUGAAAUCUUCAAGGUUCUUCCUUGACGAAUUGUAGUUUAUAGAAGUGUUUUCUGUUAGUAGAGUGGCAGAAGUUCUUUGGAAUAGGACAUCAUAGAGGGUGAGAAUCCCGUAUUUGGUCAUUCUUUCUAGCUUUGUGAUACACUUUCAACGAGUCGGAUUGUUUGGGAAUGUAGUCCAAAAUGGGUGGUAAAUUUCAUCUAAAGCUAAAUAUUGGCGAGAGACCGAUGGCGAACAAGUACCGUGAGGGAAAGAUGAAAAGAACUUUGAAAAGAGAGUUAAACAGUACGUGAAAUUGUCAAAAGGGAAGCGUUUGACACCAGUGUUGUUUUUCCGAAAAUCAAUUACGAAUGUUUUGUUUUUGAGAAGUUAUGACUUCAUCGGCUUGCUUCUCUCUUUACGAAACUUUCUUAAUGCACUUUUCGGUUAACAAGUCAACAUCAAUUUCUUUUGUUGUAAAGGGGUAUGAGGAAGGUGGCUUUCUUUUCGGAGAAAGUGUUUAUAGCCUUGUACCUCUGCAAUCGGAGAGAUUGAGGUCUGCAGCGUAGAUCCUUCGGGGUUAGAUACAUUUGUGCUAAGUUAUAGCUUUUCAUAGACAACUUGUUGACUAUGUUAAGUCUUGUAGCUUACUCGCUUAUGCUAUUUUACCUACGCUUAGGAUGUUGAUGUGAUACUGCGAGCA